UGUUAUGCUAAUGACAGACAUGCUGCUGCAUUAUUCCUGUCUUGUUUUGUCAUAGGAGGAUUUCCUUCUCAAAUCACUCAUGGGUUAGUAAUGAGUCGUCACAGAAGAAAAACUCCAGUACGCAGUUCUGAUAACUUAUACAAGAAGUCUGAAAACAGACUCAUGAGAAUCGUAAGAGAUGCAGAGUCAUGGAAAAUCUAAACAAGAAUCUCACGUUGCAGACUGACAUGCUCAGGCAUGAACUCCAGGCCAAGGUCCAGCACUUUGGGGAACUUCCUGAGAAGGCAAUUGCAUCUAGACCAUUGUGUUGAGCAUCUGCCUCUGAACUUAGCCUGCACAAAGUGCCUUUUGAACUCACCUGCACUUUUGGCCACCUCAGCGUUCUGGAGUGACAAGUUCCACAGUGUAAUUACACAGCAUGGGAAGUACUUGGCUUUGAAAUAUGCUGCCUGAUGGAGUACAAAGGUUUUCUUUACAUUAAGCUGUCUGUUAAAACAGUGAAAAUGAACAAAUGAAAGGUCUGCUGUGGUAUCCUGCUAUAAGAUUUAUCACCAAGUGUGUUAAUGCUACCAUUUGAUUUGCGGGUGUAAAUUGCAUAUUUAUGUGGUGCUGCUGUUCUUAUUCCCCAAAGCCCUCUAGAGUGUAUGAAUGAGCUGCUCUGUUUGAGCUGCAGUGUGUGCAAUCAGAAGCUUCUGGUUCCUUUGGGAAUUCAGUUAUAGCAUGAAAUUAAUCUCUUUCAGCUACUCUGGUUGAGCAGGUGAAAAGUGAAAAUAAUUAUCAAAGCUUGGUGGCCUCUAGUAAUUGUGUGAAACCUCUGAAUAUGCCUGCACUGCAGCUUGCUAACAUAGUUUGCAAUUGUCUGAAAUGACACAGUGCUUAAAAUAGAUAACAGCACUGUUUUCCUCUUGAAUGGCUGGAGAGCUGCACAAACCAGGUAGUCAAUCACAUGCCUUUAAAAAGCCACUCAUUUUCAGUGCAAGCAUUGAGUGAAUUGCUUAUUCAAAGUAUCCACUGUCCUCCUGACAUGUCCUGGGUAGCUGGGAAUGCUAGUAAUUAGGCCCAGUGCAGUGACUGUCUUUUUAGAUGGAAUAACAAGAACUGAUUUUACUGGUACUGCCUACACUAUCAAGAAUGCAGUAUCUAACACAGAGAAUUGGCACCAAACCUUAAAUGGAAGCUAAUGCUACUUUUUUUUUUGGCUGAAUACCAAGGAUGGCUAAAUAUAAGCUCAGGGCUUGCUUUUGUUGCUUGGUGAAAAUUUUUAAUAAUCUAGCAUCUAGCACUUAACCCUUCUCACUCUCUAAAGAAUCAGAAUAAUUCUCAGAAAAGUAAAUGACUGCUUUUGCUCUUUUUUUCCGUUAGUCCUUUUUUGGUCUUUUUUUAAA